ACUGCUGCAGCUGAACACACCAGGAGGGGAAGCUGGGAUGAGACUCAUGCUGGAUCAAGCAAAGCAGCGCCUGUGUUUUCUGGAUACAUCUAUAGUGUGAUUUGGCUGUCCUGCCUGCUUGGAUGCCUGAGCUGCAGGGAAUGACAUCUGAUGUGUGGAAGGAGGAUCCACUCUGUGAUUUUCCCAAGCACAGAUGUGAGGCUCACCAGCCUGCAGUUCCCUGAGACUUCCUCUCUCCCCUUCUUGAAUAUGGUGUUUCCAUUUUUCCAGUCACUGAGAACUUUGUCUGACAGCCACAGUUUUUCAGAUGUGAUGGAGAGCAGCUUGGCAACCACAUCAGACAGUUUCUUCAGGACUGAGAUGGAUCUCAUCUGGCCCUAUGGACUUCUACACAUUCAGCCUCAUGAGGUGGUCUCGGACUUGCUCCGCUCUUAGACUGGGAGGGAUUUUGUUCCCCUCACCUCCACCUAGAAGUUCAGGGACACCAGAGGUAUGCGAAUCCUGAGUGAUUGUGAAGAACAAGGAAAAGAACUCAUUAAGCACCUCAGCCUUCUCCAUGUUUGAGGGGCAAGGGUAGAGGCCUCCUGGUUGCACCUUGUGCAAUUGAGUCUGAUCUCUGGGAGAAGGCACUCUCCUUCCACUGUCUCUUUUACUCCAAGAGGGAGAGAUGGAAUCGUGUCAUGGAAUGUUGCCUCUGUCACAGAAAGAUGUGCCAAAGCCUCUGGAGGCUGAGGAACCAUUGUUCUGUUUAGCAUCUUCUAGGCACAGCAGUGAAUGGACAUCGAUAUGUUGCCGAUACAAUUUCACAUUGCUGUGGACAACACCUGCCUGCUAAUACAAGAGGCAAUUUGAUGCAACAAAGCCAUAAUUCAGUUCAGUGUGGUCUACAUAGUGUAACGAAGUGUGGAGCUGGAGCUGGAGCCAUGUAUUACCUUUCCAAGGCUGGCGGUGGGAAGAAAACAGGGCUUGCGCUGUGGGCAUCCUCGUCCUGAGCAGCACAUCUGUAAGCUGGGCUGGGGAAAGAAUCUGAGCUAAAAGCUGCCCUCUUAUGGCCUUUUAUAGUCACUAAACGGAGUUCUUCUAGGUGGUUGGAGAAGUGGGUGAAGAGCUGGGUAUUUCUUACAGCAGCCUGGACAACCAGCACGUCAUCAUUCUGGUCCCUGCCACAGCUCUCUCGUGCUUCUGUGAAAACCCUCCAGUUUUCCUGGCACAGAGUAAAGCUUACAGCAGGCGUGCUGCCUUUGCAGAACAUGCAUGACUGGAGCAGCUCCUACAUCCAUGCAAGUGAUAGGGAGGAGACCUGCAGUCAGAGGAGAUAUGGUGGAUUACCUACUCCCGAGGAAACUCCUUUGACUGCAUCAUUUAGGAUUUAUCUUCCCACUGUACUGUGUUGUUUCCUAAGAAGGAUGACAGCCCCUGGGCCACAUCCUUGGGUCAAGCCCCCCUGUGGUUAUUGGCAAGGGAAGGACUUUAAAAUCAUUGCUUCCCCUGCAUGAAGUCUCCUUUGGGAUUGGAAUUCUCCUUUGAUUGAGCGGGAUACCUGCAAACGGCACAAACUUUUCACAAACCCAAAGCCCUAACCUGCCUGGAAAAUAAAAGUGACCUGAAUUAACCAUCCACGUAAGGUUCAGCUCUACUCAUGGACUGCCACAGGCUGUUUUCUUGUGCCACCUGGUUAUGGCCCAGAGACAAACCUCACAUUUGGGUUUAGGGGACCCAGGGGACCUGGCAUCAUUUGGGGCCAUCACUUGGCAAUGCACUGUCUGUUCCCUCCGUUUCCAUCCUGGUCCCUGUCCUUUACCAUCAGACAUCAGAUUUUGAGUCUAACCUGAGCACACAUUCAGAAAUGACGCAUUUCCAUGCUGCACCUAUUUAGCGUGCAACUUGAUUCCCAG
rnacentral:lncRNA from 1 species